CACUAACAAACAAUUAUUCAAGCUAAAGUAUAUAUAUAAUUUUGAAUCAAACACCACACUUUUGAGACAAUGGUUUUUGAAGUAUUCGCUUAAUAAUAGAUUCUAUAUAAUACUAUGACAUGAAAUGUCCUAUGAGAGGAAAACAAUUAUUACCAUACAUAUACUGGGCCUAAAAGUUUAAAUUCACUACAUUUUCAAAUGUCUCCACGUAUCGGCCAUCCUCUUCGCAGCUUGAUACCUUUUCACUGUGGAAAUUCCAGAAAUAUUAGAAAGCUCCUCAUUGAGUUUCUUUUUUUGCUCCAUUAGAUUGUCCUCACAAAUUGCUUUACUAAACAUUUUGGCAGUUUCAUGAAGUUCAGUAGCUAUCAUCCUUGAAGCACUACAAACUUCUUUAUCAAGCUCCUCAUGCACAUCAGCUGCAGUUUGGGCAUCAUGACCAGUUGACCUAUCUUUCCCAAAGAUUAUACAAAGAUCAUCAAACCAUGGAAAACGAUUAUAUCUCCACUUAGCAGCCUUGUCAUGAACCUGCAUACCAAAGUUUUACAUAACAUUAAAUUGCAUAUACUUUUAAGCUAAAUUGUAACAGUCAAUCAAAAAACUCAGUCUCAUACAAGAGAAAAGCUUUAGCAAUAACCAUACAUGCAAAAUACAGAUUUAUGCCCCAGCCGCAUAAACUCAACAAGCCAAAUUACACACUGUUGUUAUUUCAAAAAAAAAUCUUCUCCAGAAGUUAACGCAAUGAAACUGAAGAUGAAGAAGAGCCUUGAAUACUUGAAUUACCAUAGAAGUGAUCAAAAC
rnacentral:lncRNA from 1 species